AAAAAAAAUCUAAAUUUAUAUGUAUCUCUCCAUUUCGUGCACGUAAGUGAUCUCAUCAUACAUACAUAAUAUAGCUUGCUUUUUCACAGAGUAUAUUGUGGAAUUAUUUCCAUGUUAGCAUUUAAAUCUCCUUCAUAGCAGAUAACACUUGCAUAGUAUUCUGCUGAAUGAAUGAGUGCAUGAUAGUUUAUUUGUUCAGUCCUGUAUUGAUAGACACUCUGGUUGUCUCUCUUUCCUCCUCCCUCCCUUAGUCUCUCCUUCCUUCCAUCCUUUCUUUCUCUCUCUCUCUCUUUCUGCUUUUCUCCCUUCCUUCCUUCCUUUCUCUUUCUUUCUCUCUCUAUCUCUAUUUUUCUCUCUAUUACAAACCAUGGUAGAUAAAUAUCUUUGUUCAUAUACUGUGGGAAGUUUUUGCAUUAUAUCCAUAGUAAAUGCCUAACAGGAAGAGUGCCAUGUUAUGAGGACACUCAGAUAGCCCUGUGGGAGGGACCAUUUGGUGAGAAAUUGAGCCUCAUUUUAGUAAGUAGCAUAUGCCAGCCAUGUGAGUGAGCCACCUCGAAGUGAAUCCUCCAGCACCAAUUAAGCUUUCAGAUGACUGCAGUCCUAGGUAAUAUCUGAUUGCAGCUUCAUGAGAGACCCUGAGCCUAAACCGCCUAGCCAAGUCACUCUUGAUUUCCUGACUGACAGAAGUUAUGAUUUUUUUUAAUAUACUAGUUUUGGGGAAAUAUGUUAAGCAAUAUCAGAUAACUAAAAUACUUACGGCUUGGAACAGUGGUUGUCAACCCCGGACAAUUUUGCCCCUCAGGGACAUUGGCAAUGUCUGGAGACAUUUUGAUCGUUCCAACUGGGGAGGAUGCUACUGGCAUUUAGUAGGUAGAGGCCAGUAAUGCUGCUAAACAUCCUACAGUGAACAGAAUAGUUCCCAACAACAACAAAAUAUGCAGCCCCAAAUGUCAAUGGUGCCAAAGUUAAGAAAUCCUGAAUCCUAGAAUAACUUAAAUAACAUUGGAAUCAAUUUUUUUUUUUUAAAACAUAAGGUCUCACUCUGUCGACCAGGCUGGUGUGCAGUGGCAUGAUCUCGGCUCACUGCAACCUCCGCCUCCCAGGCUCAAGCAAUCCUCCCACCUCAACCUCCUGAGUAGCUGAGACUACAGGUGUGUGCGAUACCACGCUUGGCGAAAUUUUUGUAUUUUUGAAGUGACAGGGUUUCUCCCUCUUGCCUAGGCUGGUCUCAAACUCCUGGGCUCAAGUUAUCUGCCUGCCUCAGCCUCCAAAAGUACUAGGAUUAGAGGUGUGAGCCACCAUGCCCAGCCCAAAUAUUUUCUUUCUUUCCUUCUCCUUUUCUUUCCUUCUUCUUUUCUCUCCUGCUUUCUUUUCUUUUCUCCACACCCGCCUCCAGCCCUCCCUCUCUUUCUUUUUUCUUUUUUUUUGGUGACAGAUUCUCACUCUGUUACCCAGGCUGGAGUGCAGUGGUGCAAUCACGGCUCACUGCAGCCUCAACCUUCUGAGAUCAAGUGAUCCUCCCACUUCAGCCUCCCAAGUAGCUGGGAUACAAACAUGCACCACCACAACUGGCUAAUUUUUAAAAUUUUCUAUAGAAGUGGGGUCUCUUGAUGUUGCCCAGGCUAGUCUCGUAUUCCUGGGCUCAAGUGAUCCUCCUGCCUCUAUCUCCCAAAGUGCUGGGAUUACAGGUAUAAACCACUGUGCCCAGCCUCUGUAUCUUUUUCUUUUCUUCUUCUUUUUUUUUUUUUUUUUUUUUUUAAAGAAGGGGUCUUGCUCUACCAUCCAGGCUGGAGUGCAGUGGUGCAAUCUUGGCUCACUGCAACCUCUGCCUCCCAGGUUCAAGCGAUUCUCCUGCCUCAGCCUCCUGAGUAGCUGGGAUUACAGGCAUGAGCCACCACACCCGGCUCCAUAUCUUUUUUAAUUUUGGAUUUUUAAUCACCUUUACAGGCAGCGGUAAUUGAUGAAGUAAGUCCUGACCAACAUAAAAACACAUUUUUGCAAUGAGGUGCUAAAGAGUCACACAACUUCUUUUGCAAGCUAGUUGAAUUCCAAGAUCCUGUCCUUUUUGGAGUUUUGGAAAACAAUAUGUGAAAUAGGUUAUUAUUUUAAUUCUAACACUUUUUCUAUAGAUCCUUCUGGAUUAUCUAGGGACACAUUGCAUCACCUAUCAAAAAGUGUAAAUUUUAAAAAUUCUCUCUAAUCUUUAUGACUUUUUUCUUAGUUUAUUAUUCUGGUUUGAGCUUCUAGUGAAAUAUUGAAUAGCAGUGUUAGUGGAUAGUUUUUGUCUUAUUCUUGAUGUCAAGGAGAAAGUUUUAAAUAUUUCCUUAGGUGUGAUGUUUGUCAUAGGGUUUUUUUUUGUAUAUACUCUCAAUCCAAUUAAGGAAAUCCCCUUUUAUUCAAAUUGCUAAGAGUUUACUUGUUUCUUUAAUCAUGAAUGGAUAUUGGAUUUUAUCAUCGGCUUUUUCUCAAUCUAUAGAAAAGCUCACAUGGGAGAAAGAAUAGUCCUUUUAGCAAAUGGUGUGGGAGACAACUGAAUAUCCACAUUUAAGACAAUAAAACUGGAUCCCUACCUAACAUCCAUACACAAAAAUUAGCUCAAGGUACAAGAUAGGCUUUAAUAUAAGUGCUGAAACUAUAAAAUUUUAUUAGGCCUGUGCAAAAGUAAUUGCGAUUUUUGCCAUUACUUUCAAUGGCAAAACCUGCAAUUACUUUUGUGCCAAUGUAAUAGAAGAAAACACAGGAAUAAAUUUUUGUGAUCUAGGUUGGGUAAUAAUUUCUUGAAUAAGGCACCAAAAGCACAAAUAAUAAAAAAGGAAAUUGAUAAGUUGUAUCUCAUCAAAUUAAGAUUAAUUGUGCUUCAAAGGAUGCCAUUGAGAAAGUGAAAAGACAAGCAAAAGUAGGAAAAAAUAUUUUCCAAUAAAUUGUUAGGACUAGUAUCCAGAAUAUAUAAAGAAUUCUUACAACUCAAUAUCACUAGUCACUAGGAAAUGGAAAGCCAAAUCUCAAUGAGGUAUCAUAUCACACUGAGUAGGAUGGAUAAGAUAAAAAAGACAGACCAUAAUGAGUGUUAGUCAGGAUGUGAAGAAUACUGGAGCCCCUCAUACAGUGCUGGUGGGAAUGAAAAAUGGGGCAGUCACUUCGGAAAACUAUUUGACAGUUUCUCAAAACAUUAAACAUAGAGUUAACCAUAAGAACAAUCUACUCCUAGGUAUCUUCCUAAGGAAAGUGAAAACAUACAUCCACACAAAAACUCUCACAUGAAAAUUCACAGAGACAUUUUUCAUAAAAGCCAAAAAUUUGAAACUACCUAAAUAGCCAUCUGACGAAUGAAUAAAAUAUGGGAGAUCCAUACAAUGGAUUAUUAUUUGGCAAUAAUAGGGAAUGAAACACUGAUACAAGCUACAAAAUAGAUGAACCUUGAAAAAUUAUGCUAAGUGAAAGAAGUCAGGCAUGAAAUGUUACAUAUUGUAUAAUUCUGUUUAUAUGAAAUGUCCAAACUGGCAUAUCUAUAGAGACAGAGAGCAGAUUUGUGGUUUCCUAGGGUGGUAGAGAGGGGAAAAUGGGGAGUGCUAGUGGGUACAGUUUUCUUCUUAAAGUAAUGAAAAUGUCUUAAAAUUAGAUGAUGGUGAUAUUUGCCAACUCUGUAAAUGAACUAAAAGCUGUCAUAUUUUAUACUUUUAAUAGGUGAAGUUUAUGGCCUGUAAAUUAUAUCUAAAUAAAGAUUUUAAAAAUUAAUAUAAAUUUGUAUUUUUUAUUACUUAAACAUUUUGUCUAUUUAUCUCCAAUUUACUUUUUAAAAUAAACAGCUUUAUUUUUUUUUUUUCAAUUUUAAGAUAGGGCCUUGCUCCAUCACCCAGGCUAGAGUAGAGGGCAGUGGCAUGAUUAUGACUUACCGCAGGCUUGAGCUCAAGUGAUACUCCCACCUCAACCUUCCAAGUAGCUGGGACCACAGGCAUGCCACCACACUCGACUAGUUUUCGUAUUUUUUUUUUUUUUUUUGUAGAGACAGGGUCUCGCUAUGUUGCCCAGGCUGGUCUUUAACUCCUGAACUCGAGAUCCCCCUGCCUAAGCCUCCCAAAGUGCUGGGAAUACAGGUGUGAGCCACCAUACCUGGCCUAAAAAACAGAUUUGAGAUGAAACUUGCAUGCCAUUCAAUUCAUUCAUUUAAAGUGUACAGUUCAGUGUUUUUUAGUAUAUUUACAGAGUUGUGCAACCAUCACCACAAUUUAGCUUUAGAGUAUUUUCAUCUCCCCAAAAAUUAACCUGUACCAUGAACUGACACUCCCCAUUCCCUCUUCCCAACACUCCUCUUC
rnacentral:lncRNA from 1 species